GAAACAGAUGCUAAUACCGCAUAAAUCCAAGAACCGCAUGGUUCUUGGCUGAAAGAUGGCGUAAGCUAUCGCUUUUGGAUGGACCCGCGGCGUAUUAGCUAGUUGGUGAGGUAACGGCUCACCAAGGCAAUGAUACGUAGCCGAACUGAGAGGUUGAUCGGCCACAUUGGGACUGAGACACGGCCCAAACUCCUACGGGAGGCAGCAGUAGGGAAUCUUCCACAAUGGACGCAAGUCUGAUGGAGCAACGCCGCGUGAGUGAAGAAGGCUUUCGGGUCGUAAAACUCUGUUGUUGGAGAAGAAUGGUCGGCAGAGUAACUGUUGUCGGCGUGACGGUAUCCAACCAGAAAGCCACGGCUAACUACGUGCCAGCAGCCGCGGUAAUACGUAGGUGGCAAGCGUUAUCCGGAUUUAUUGGGCGUAAAGCGAGCGCAGGCGGUUUUUUAAGUCUGAUGUGAAAGCCCUCGGCUUAACCGAGGAAGUGCAUCGGAAACUGGGAAACUUGAGUACAGAAGAGGACAGUGGAACUCCAUGUGUAGCGGUGAAAUGCGUAGAUAUAUGGAAGAACACCAGUGGCGAAGGCG
rnacentral:rRNA from 1 species